GCAAAGCUGACAUAGGUCGGCGAUUUAUUAAUGUAGGUUUCCAGUGACAUUUACGAGUGUUAAAUGCUUCAUUAUACUGAGCAAAAACUCAUCGUUGAUGCUCACAACAGCUUUCAUAAAUUUGUAGUACUCCUAAUUUCUUUUUGUGAUUUAGGAGUAGUAAUAUUUGAUGAAUCACAAAAUAAAAUAAUUACUCUCCUUAUCCAGAAAGAGUGGAAUUUAUCACUCUCUCCACAAAAUUAGCAGAAACAGUCCACAAUCAAUGGCUUCCUCCGCCACAUACGCUCUCCUCCUCCUCCUCCUCUUCGCCGCCUCCGCAGCGGCGGAAUCUCCGACACCUGCGACGUGGCCGCUCCAAUUCCACUCCAUCCUAUACGUCAACUACAGCGGAUCUCUCAGCCUGAUCAACCUCUGGUACGACUGGCCCAACGGCCGCAACUUCAACAUCAUACAAGACCAGCUCGGCUCGAUUUCGUACGAUCUCGAGUGGAACAACGGCACCUCCUUCUUCUACUCUCUCGAUUCCGCCAAAACGUGCAGCUCCGCGCAGCUCGAUGUCGGUAUUCUCCGCCCCGAUUGGCUCGACGGCGCCGAAUACCUAGGUCAGGAGAGCGUCGACGGAUUUCUCUGCAACGUUUGGCAGAAGCUUCGUUUCAUUUGGUAUUACGAGGACGUCGUCACCAAGCGCCCUGUUCAUUGGGAGUUCUACACUGGAAGAUCUAUCCAUGUAAUGACUUUUGACGUGGGAGCUGUUCUUGAAGACGAGAAGUGGCAGGCCCCUGUAUAUUGUUUCGAGAAGAAAGAAACUCAAACUGAUCGUAGAUCUGAGUACAAACUCAAUGUUGGUUACUUUGAACCGCAACUUAAAGGGAUUCUAGGAGGGUCAAUGCAGCUCUAGAUAACAGUGGGCAUUUGUUUCUGUAAUGAAGCAUUUGACAUGCCGAUGAGGUAUUAAAGAGAUGCCGUUGCUUGAUUGAAGACACCUGCUGCAGUUACGAUGUACACGAAAAUGGAAGCAGGAAAUAUAACAUCAGUCUACAGAAACAAAUACUAAGAAAUUGAUCACGCUCAUAACUGUAAGCAGCCAGUAGAAAUUAUCGAACCGGCCAGUGUUUAUAUUCUGAGACAGCCAAGUGGGUCUUCUUUUCUCUUCAUUGCCCGUGAUAGAAUUGACGAUAUUGUUGAGUACGGUGGC